AAACUUAGGCUAAUAU
rnacentral:tRNA from 1 species